GACAGAGGUGGCAAGCGUUGUUCGGAUUUAUUGGGUGUAAAGGGUCCGUAGGUGGUCGUGCAAGUCCGGCGUGAAAUCCCAUGGCUCAACCGUGGAACUGCGUUGGAAACUGCAUGACUUGAGUACCGCAGAGGUAAAGGGAAUUCUCGGUGUAAGGGUGAAAUCUGUAGAUAUCGAGAGGAACACCAGUGGCGAAGGCGCUUUACUGGGCGGUUACUGACACUGAGGGACGAAAGCAAGGGGAGCAAACAGG
rnacentral:rRNA from 1 species